UGGAUCCGCAAGCCUGCGAGUCGAGAGGUUCGGCCCUCGGCGAACUGCUCAGUAACACGUGGAUAGUCUAACCUUAGGUGGAGCAUAACCUCGGGAAACUGAGAAUAAUACUCCAUAGAUCUUUGAGGCUGGAAUGCGCUUAGAUUGAAAGCUUCGGCGCCUAAGGAUGAGUCUGCGGACUAUCAGGUAGUAGUCAGGGUAAAGACCUGACUAGCCUACGACGGAUACGGGUUGUGAGAGCAAUAACCCGGAGAUGAUAUCUGAGACACGAUAUCAGGCCCUACGGGGCGCAGCAGGCGCGAAAACUUCACAAUGCGCGAAAGCGCGAUGAGGGGAUCCCAAGUGCUUGCACGUAAGUGUAAGCUGUUUUUCUGUCUAAAAAGCAGAGAGAGUAAGGGCUGGGUAAGACGGGUGCCAGCCGCCGCGGUAAUACCUGCAGCUCAAGUGGUGGCCGCUAUUAUUGGGCCUAAAACGUCCGUAGCCGGCUGAGUAAAUGCCUGGGUAAAUCGUGUGGCUUAACCAUACGAAUUCCGGGUAGACUGCUCAGCUUGGGACCGGAAGAAGUUAGAGGUACUCCUGGGGUAGGGGUGAAAUCCUGUAAUCCUGGGGGGACCACCAGUGGCGAAGGCGUCUAACUAGGACGGGUCUGACGGUGAGGGACGAAGCCCUGGGGCGCAAACCGGAUUAGAUACCCGGGUAGUCCAGGGUGUAAACGCUGCUUGCUUGAUGUUAGCUGGGCUCCGAGCUCGGCUAGUGUCGGAGAGAAGUUGUUAAGCAAGCUGCCUGGGAAGUACGGUCGCAAGACUGAAACUUAAAG
rnacentral:rRNA from 1 species